GUUUUUUUAUGACAAGAAAACCUGAUGCAUCAACCAAGAAAAAUAUUUAGCUGUUGUCAUGGAAAGCUGUGUUUCAACAACAGGAAACAGACAGUGAAAUCGAAGCUGGAUUGGUUUGCCAUAUGAAUUCUCAUCAUCCAUCCAAGGGCUGAAACUACUGACGUUGUGGGAAAGAAAAACUGCCAGCCAGACAUUUCAUUGCUCCACCUGCUUUUGGAGACACAUGAGGCUAUGUGAGGAGCUGAAGGAGGCUGGAUAAAAUUAAUUAUGAACAA